GAGAUGCGGUGGUCGUCGAUGCGGGGUCAUGACGCGGGGCCCGCCAUGGAGGCGGUGGUCGUCGAUGCGGUGUCCAAGCUGCUGAAGCCCGGCAUCGCGCUGUCCGAGAUCUCCUCUGCUCCCUGGGUUGGUGAUGCCCUCGAAGGUGAAGACGGGCUGAGAUGGUAGGCUGCUAGUUGCCUCGGCCCUGAAGAUGAAGAUGAAGGUGGAGGAGAGCGAGCGUGGGUGAGAUGGCCUCUCGCAGCAUGUCCAACCGCCCCUACUCCCCUGACGAGCGCAUGCUACAGCUCCUAGGCGAGGGUACACGAACUCCACUUCUUCCACCAGCCACCCUCCCCUCUG